rnacentral:rRNA from 1 species
AGUGAACGCUGGCGGUAGGCCUAACACAUGCAAGUCGAGCGGCAGCACAAUAAGAGCUUGCUCUUACGGGUUGCGAGUGACGUACGGGUGACACAUACAUAACAAACCACUUUGUCGUGGGUGAUAACGUAGGUAAACUUACACUAGUACCGCAUAUUACCAACGGCUGAAAGCAGGGGAUCUUCGGACUUUGCGCGAUUCAAGGAGCCGAUGUCGGGUUGGAUAGUUGGCGGGGUAAACGCCUAACAAGUCAACGAUCCGUAGCUGAACCGACAGGAUGAUCAGCCACACUGGAACUGAGACACGGUCCAGACUCCUACGGGAGGCAGCAGUAGGGAAUCUUAGGCAAUGGGCGCAAGCCUGAUGCAGCCAUACCGCGUGUGUGAAGAAGGUGUUCGGGUCGUAAACCCCUUUUGUUAGGAAAGAACAUCAGCAGGUUUAAACCUCGCUGUCGUGACGGUACCAAAAGAAAAAGCCCCGGCUAACUUCGUG